rnacentral:ncRNA from 1 species
GAGGCGUACUCCGAAAAGCCUUAAGAGUAGGAA